CUCUCUCUCUCUCUCCCUCUCUCUCUCUCCCUCUUCCUCCCUCUCUUCCUCCCUCUCUCGCUCCCUCUCUCUCUCUCUCUCUCUCUCUCUCUCUCUCUCUCUCUCUCUCUCUCUCUCUCUCUCUCUCUCUCACUUUGACACUCACUCACUCACUCACUCACACUCUCUUCUGCAAAUAGGUAGGGACUGCAAAGGUAAAUCUUUUGUUAAGACUGCAUGAUCUCUGACCUGGGCAAUAGCAGAUCUCUCUCUCCCCCUCUCCCUCGCUCUCUCUCCCUCUCCCUCCCUCUCUCUCGCUCCCUCUUUCUCUCGCUCUCUCUCUCACUUUGACACUCACUCACUCACUCACUCACUCACUCACUCUCUCUCUCUCUCUCUCUCUCUCUUCUGCAAAUAGGUAGGGACUGCAAUGGUAAAUCUUUUGUUAAGACUGCACGAUCUCUGACCUGGGCAAUGGCAGCUCUCUCUCGCUCUCUCUCCCCCUCUCCCUCGCUCUCUCUCCCUCCCUCUCUCUCGCUCCCUCUUCCUCUCCCUCUCUCUCUCUCGCUCCCUCUCUCUCGCUCUCUCUCUCACUUGACACUCACUCACACUCUUGCCCUCUCCCCUUCCCCCUCUCUCUCUCCCUCCCUCCCUCUUCCUCUCUCUCUCUUUCGCUCUCUCUCACUUUGACACUCACUCACUCACUCACACUCUCGCUCUCUCUUUUCUGCAAAUAGGUAGGGACUGCAAUGGUAAAUCUUUUGUUAAGACUGCACGAUCUCUGACCUGGGCAAUGGCAGAUCUCUCGCUCUCUCUCCCCCUCUCCCUCUCCCUCCCCCUCUCCCUCUCUCUCUCCCUCUUCCUCUCUCUCUCUCUCUCUCCCUCCCUCCCUCUUCCUCUCUCUCUCUCUCUCUCUCCCUCCUCUUCCUCCCUCUCUCGCUCCCUCUCUCGCUCUCUCUCUCUCUCGCUCCCUCUCUCGCUCUCUCUCUCUCUCGCUCCCUCUCUCUCUCUCUCUCUCUCACUUUGACACUCACUCACUCACUCACACUCUCUUCUGCAAAUAGGGAGGGACUGCAAUGGUAAAUCUUUUGUUAAGACUGCACGAUCUCUGACCUGGGCAAUAGCAGAUCUCUCUCGCUCUCUCUCCACCUCUCCCUCGCUCUCUCUCCCUCCCCCUCUCCCUCUAGCUCACUCUCUCUCUCUCUCUCUCUCUCUCUAGCUCACACUUUCUCUCUCUACCUCUCUCUCUCUAGAGAUAUGUUCUCUCUCCAAGCACACACUUAUUGAAGGCAACAAGUAUAAUAUUGACCUGGGUGCUCCUGGCUGUUUUGAUUAAGGCAAUGGUAGCCUGCACAAAGGGACCCCCGGGGUGGUCGGUCGGUCGGUCGGUCGGUCGGUACUCGUCGAGUACUCGUCGUUAACGAUUGUUCAUGGUUAUAGGUGGGAGGCAAGGUCCUCCACUAUCGGUCUCUGUGAAGAUCUAGCCACAAAAGAACAUUAACGAGAGUUCCAAUCAUUAUUAUCUUUCACUUCUCCCAUUCUUCUGAACUUUCCUGAGGCCGGCACGGUCUGUGUUCCUAAGCAGUAGCUCCAUAGUGGAUGUUCAGAGUAAAUACGAUCCUAUCUGCUGAUCCGCUAAUACCAUCCAAAAUGCAUGCUUACAUUUUACAUUGAAGUCUGUUGAUAUUUUGUUAUUAAAGACGCAAAUUAUUAAUCUACGAGUCCCUCCUAACCCUUUACACUCGUAAAGUCCCCACCACCCCCCUCCAGGCCCAGUCUAACACCCCGUCCCCUCACUGGCCUUCCAUCUCUCUCUCUCUCCAACCCCGUCUCUCUCCGCUUCUCCUCCUCCACUGUCUUAAUGAACCCCCCACCACCAAUCUUCCUCCCGCUAAACCCUCCUCGUAAAUCCAACCCCCAGCCUCUCCCACGACACAUCUCUCUCUCUGUCGCUAUUUUUAACAACGAUAACUUCUAUUUGUAGUUCCACUUAUCAUCCAAGGAUCUCAUAGGGCUAUCUGUGUACAUCUAAAUGUACACACAGCGCAGAGACAUAGUGUAUUGAGAACACAAAUUGCGGUUAAGUGGUAGCCUCAUGCUAUAAGGUACCACAGUUUUCAGCCGGACAGAUAGAACUCAGAAGUUUCUGUAGUCGGCUGAUACGCAUGUAGUUUGCACCGCAGCCAUAUUUGUAGUUCUUGGUAGUGAAUCCAACCCCCCCCUGUCCCCUCCCUUCGAUCCCCCUUCAUGGAUCUCCUCCCGUCUCUUCCUCACGCCUGAACCUCCUCGUAAAGACCAACCCCGACCCCUCCCACGACACCUCUCUCUCUCUCUGUCUCUGUCUCUGUCUCUCUCUCUGUCUCUCUCUCUGUCUCUGUCCCUGUCUCUGUGUGUGUGUGUCGCUAUUUUUAACAACGAUAACUUCUAUUUGUAGUUCCCCUCAUCAUCCAAGGAUCUCAUAGGGCUAUCUGUGUACAUAUAAAUGUACACACAGCGCAGAGACAGUCUAUUGAAAAACACAAAUUGCGGUUAAAUGGUAGCCUUAUGCUAUAAGGUACCACAGUUUUCAGCCGGACAGAUACAACUCAGAGAAGUUUCUGUAGUCGGCUGAUACGUAUGUAGAAUGCACCGCAGCCAUAUUUGUAGUUCUUGGUAGUGCCCCCUACUCGUUAACACAAGAUUAUUCCCAAUUACAUCUCAACAUCUCCAAAUGUACCACAAGAAUAUAACUAUUAUAAGUCCCAACUAGACGACCCCCAGCUUUCCAAGUAGCCUAUCUACUGUUUUUCCCCUCAUCCAGCUCAAGAAUCCCCUUAAUUGUCUGCCCCCACCAAACGAGACCAAAUUUACCUUGCAACAAUAGGGUAAUUAAAUAGCCGUUCAAAACCCCUCUUGACUUUAACAUUCAUACUGAAUCAGAGGGAUCUAAUACAUUUAUAUACACACCUAUGCCACAUCAACUUGAUAAACAAAGACCUAUUGAUUUCCCUGCAGAUCACACAGCCCUGCAACUUAAAGAGGAACACACCUAGGCUGUACCUUCAAACGCUCUCUACCACACACUGCCUUAUUUACAUUGCUUAAAGAAGGAGACUAAACCCCUUCCUAUUGUCAGUUAAAUUGAAGUCUUAUCUCAUUGUUCUUUCUCCCCCUUGCCCCCUCCCACCCCUAACACCUGGUAAUAUGUUGGAACAAGAAUGUAAAUUUGGUAUAUGUGUUUGUAUAUUUGAGGGUCUGUGUGCUGAAAUACAGGGAGCCAGUCCCUAGUUGAUAUCGGCAAAACACGCAAAUAUUUGUGUAGGUUGUAAUCAAUGUUUUUGGAUUCACCAACAUUAAUAGUUUAAACGAUCUAUAAAUGUCUUGCAUUUGUACUAAAUUUGUUCUCUUUUCUCGUCAGGCCUUUGCAACCCGAGC
ensembl:lncRNA